UGGUGGUACCAUUGGAACUCUAUACAAAGUGCUCUUCCCUAUAUUCAUCAGGUACUGUUGCCACCUACCUCUACUUCUGCCACAGCAACCACCCCAGCAGGAUCAGCAGUUCUCGGCCUGAGAACAAUGGGGAACAACCCACCGGAUCCAAAGCGUAAUGAUCAGGGCUGUCAAACCCCUACUCCUGUACGUAAUGAUCAGGGCGUCAAACCCCUACUCCUGUACGUAAUGAUCAGGGCUGUCAAACCCCUACUCCUGUACGUAAUGAUCAGGGCUGUCAAACCCCUACUCCUGUACCCACAGCCUCCUUGCUACCUUCCCCCUCUUCCACAGCCUCAGCCGGAUCUCAACCCACAUCCCAAACCUUGAUGCUGAGCACCUGUGUUACCCCAYCACCAGGCCCGUCCGCCUUCCCUCUCCAGUCAUUCCUCAUACAGCUGCCUGGUGGAGGGACAGCCAUCCUUACCAACCCAACCAACUCCCAGCUAAUCCCAGUGUGCGCAUUUCCCGCCAUGACGAGUUCCACCGUGACACCCACCACUGCCUUCCUCCUGCAGAGGACUACUCCCUACACCCCUGCUGCUCCCAAGCCCCCCUCUGCAUCCGCCCUCUUAUCUCAUUCCGCUGCCACAACCACGACUACACCCACUGACACACCAGCUGCCACAACGUCCCACAUGACCACACCCAUAACCAGGGCCACAACCAUAACCACACCCACAUGCUGGGCCACAACCGUAACCACACCCACACCCAGGACCACACCCAGG